AUGUAGAGCGGACGUCCGCACUCCGGCUUAAAGUGCGGACUUCAUCCGUUCUCUGCCGUCUCACGCCGGCGAUGGCUUCUCUCCUUCCCGGAUGACAGCACAGGCUUCCAGGACGGCUUCUCUCCUUCCAGGACUGGCCGACGACAAGUUUUCCGGCCAGCCUUGAUCAAUCAUGGUGUUUUCCGUCCAUAGCUUUAAUCCGGCCGGAAAACUUGUCGCUGGUCAGUCCUGGAAGGAGAGAAACCGUCCUAGAAGUCUGUGCUGUCGUCCGGGAAGGAGAGAAGCCGUCGCCGGCGUGAGACGGCAGAGAACGGACGAAGUCCGCACUUUAAGUCAGAGUGUGGACGUCCGCUCUCUAUCCUUUCUGUAUAUAUAUAAUUAUCUAAAUUUAUAUGAAUCAAAUGGAGUUUUUCUGGGGUAACAAAUUAAGCCUUAGAAAGUUGCCAAAUAUGAGGUGCCACAUGACUUUGCAGCCACGCACAUAUAUAGAUAGAGGAGGCCAAACAAGUUGAUCCAACUUUCGUUUGUCCUCAUCAAACACUUUAAUGAACAUUACUUUCAUCGUGACUAAAUAUCUCUAACUUCUUGCACACUUUGGACAUACUUUGGGAUGUCCAAAGGGUCGACAAAACAAUUAGGAAAAUAUCAACCGCCUAAUCCGUUUCGACAAACAAGUCAUUUAUCCUUGAUUUUCUUGGUUUGCAGAAAACUAAAUCAUGCAUGUUUGGCCGAUCGAUAUAUAUCUUCUAAGUGUGAUUAAACUUAACUUGAAAGCUAGCUCCUAAGUUUGGAGUCUAGCGGCCAACAAUGCGAAAGCUGAUUAGAUGGAAUUGCAUUUAGAAGAGUAUAAUACAAUUCUGAUCACAUUCUUUUUUGGAGGACAUGCAUUUUAGUUGUUAUUCGUGCACCUUAAAUAUUUGGACAUACAUAUCUUACUUAUAGUUUAAAACAGGGUUUUAAGGGUCAUGAAGCCUCAUCAACCUCAAAUCAAGCUAAAAAAAGCAGUUAAAAAACGCUCGUUUUGUUUGUUAAUUUCUACUAGUACUUUAGUACCGAGGACAUCUUGCACAAAUAGGGGACAUGGCCUCUUCACCCUAAAAUUAAACAUUUUCUAUUUGUUAUGUCUCCAUUAUUCUAGGAGUAAAUGACACUUUAGUACUAAUUUUAAAGGUUUAUUGCCCAUUUCAAUGAAAAACUCUUUACCAAUCUCAUUCCAAUGAAUUCUAAUAAAAGGACGUCAUUACCCUUGACCUCAUUUAACUCUCUUUCUCUGUUUCUCACUUUCUCCUCUCUUUAUCCC
rnacentral:lncRNA from 1 species